UGCUUCAUUGGGGUUGGAGCUAAAAUCUACUGGACAGUAGCUCACCAGGAGCAGGGUUGGAGUCUAGUGGUAUAUAUUUAUGUAUGUUUAAACAGUUGCGUUUAAAACUAACUGUGGAUGCACUUUUCUUUUUCCAGUGUUUUCCUCAACAGUGCAGUGGGAAUUCUUGUGGUGUCUACAUGCUGAUGUAUGCUCUCAGCAUCUGCACAUCAUGUCCUUUAACAUUUACAGAGGAGGAGGUGCCAUUGAUUUGCCAGUGAUGGUGCAUUCAGCUAAUGGAAAAGUUUUGUCUAGAAGGGCAUGGACAGAGGUUUGCAUACUGGACCGAAGAAUCAUCCCAACUCCUUCAGGGAACACUUGAGCCUGUCUUCAGGGUUUCAAAAUCCACCACCACCAAACUGUUGCCCAGCAGAAGAGUUGUGGUUAAAAUGGACAUUU